rnacentral:rRNA from 1 species
GACGAACGCUGGCGGCGUGCUUAACACAUGCAAGUCGAACGGAAAGGCCCUGCUUGCAGGGUACUCGAGUGGCGAACGGGUGAGUAACACGUGGGUGAUCUGCCCUGCACUUCGGGAUAAGCCUGGGAAACUGGGUCUAAUACCGGAUAGGAGCCAUUUUUAGUGUGAUGGUUGGAAAGUUUUCUCGGUGUAGGAUGAGCUCGCGGCCUAUCAGCUUGUUGGUGGGGUAAUGGCCUACCAAGGCGGCGACGGGUAGCCGGCCUGAGAGGGUGGACGGCCACAUUGGGACUGAGAUACGGCCCAGACUCCUACGGGAGGCAGCAGUGGGGAAUAUUGCACAAUGGGCGCAAGCCUGAUGCAGCGACGCCGCGUGGGGGAUGACGGCCUUCGGGUUGUAAACUCCUUUCGCUAGGGACGAAGCUUUUUGUGACGGUACCUAGAUAAGAAGUGCCGGCUAACUACGUGCCAGCAGCCGCCGUAA